rnacentral:rRNA from 1 species
AACGAACGCUGGCGGCAUGCCUAACACAUGCAAGUCGAACGAGACCUUCGGGUCUAGUGGCGCACGGGUGCGUAACGCGUGGGAAUCUACCCUCAGGUUCGGAAUAACUCAGAGAAAUUUGAGCUAAUACCGGAUGAUGACGUAAGUCCAAAGAUUUAUCGCCUGAGGAUGAGCCCGCGUAGGAUUAGGUAGUUGGUGAGGUAAAGGCUCACCAAGCCGACGAUCCUUAGCUGGUCUGAGAGGAUGAUCAGCCACACUGGGACUGAGACACGGCCCAGACUCCUACGGGAGGCAGCAGUGGGGAAUAUUGGACAAUGGGCGAAAGCCUGAUCCAGCAAUGCCGCGUGAGUGAUGAAGGCCUUAGGGUUGUAAAGCUCUUUUACCCGGGAUGAUAAUGACAGUACCGGGAGAAUAAGCUCCGGCUAACUCC